UACGUAGGGGGCGAGCGUUGUCCGGAUUUAUUGGGCGUAAAGAGCGUGUAGGCGGCCAGGUAGGUCUGCUGUGAAAACUCGAGGCUCAACCUCGAGACGUCGGCGGAAACCAUCUGGCUAGAGUCCGGAAGAGGAGAGUGGAAUUCCUGGUGUAGCGGUGAAAUGCGCAGAUAUCAGGAAGAACACCCGUGGCGAAGGCGGCUCACUGGCCCGAUACUGACGCUGAGGCACGAAAGCGUGGGGAGCAAACAGG
rnacentral:rRNA from 1 species